rnacentral:lncRNA from 1 species
GCAUUGCCCUGAGUCAUGCAGUUAGCCUGUGCUAGAGGCCAAGAUCAACAAUCUUAAACUACACAGUGCUCAUCCCUCUGGGAAUUCAUAUUCAUUAGAGUUGACUAUAAUCCAACAGGCAAUAUUGAAGUCUUCAAAAACAAUCUUUUUAUCAUAUGACCACCAGCAUCAGUGGAAAAUGCUGGAGAUGGAAAAUGCUAACAACACCUAACAGCAAUGAAAGAUAAGAUGAAAAUGAAUUGUCAGAACUUAUAAUUUUCAGAACAAGGUGUUCUUUUACAAAAGCUUUCCGUUGUCUUAUUUAAGCCAGUGUUUAUAUAUCUCACCUCUAUUUUCCUUGCAAAUAUAUAUUUUUAGCCAUUUUUGGAUCAGAAUGCUAAAUUAUUUGGAAAAUUUCUUAAUAUGGAAAUGUUAGUGAUCUCAUCUGAACAGCUUAGAGAGUUCAAUGUAGAAGUUCUUCACAUAUAAAGAUUAAAAUAUAUCCUCACUCCAGUGACUCUUCAGCCAAGCAUUUUUCUUUUUAAAGCACAUCCAAAAAUAAAACAGAAUUUGGAUAAGGCUUACAAAGCAUGCUUGUUCUGGUAACAUAAAUGGCAAGUGAGAAAAGGAGUGGUGAAUGACUAACACAAGUUCACUGAAGAUGACAAUAUGUGAUUUAGUCACCUUUGGCAGGAAAUAUGCCUCCAUACAAAAUGAGAAGCUCACACAAAUAGCACAGAGCUCAGAAGCCUGUGGAAACAUCUAUACAAGAAACAAAAUGACCACAACUCUGUCCAUUCCUCUUACCCUUCUAAAACCCAAUAAUGCGGAUAUGUGCACAAGUGAUUUGAACAUGUUUCUGUGUAGCAAAGACUUUUUCUUGGCCUCCACUGAGCCAUAUGCAAAAAACCUGAAGCUUUUUAAGUGGGAGAAGAAACAGAAGGAAAAGAGAAGGUCACAAACUCCAUCAGGGAAAUUUUCAGAUGAAGAAACAGGAAGUGGAACUGAGCGAAGUCCAAUUUUAUUUGUUAAUAAGGAAGAGGUUGAAAGCAAUGGUUAA